GUCGUGAGAUGUUUGGUUAAGUCCAGCAACGAGCGCAACCCUUAUUCUAUGUUGCCAGCGGAUAAUGCCGGGGACUCGUAGAAAACUGCCGGGGUCAACUCGGAGGAAGGUGGGGACGAGGUCAAGUCAUCAUGCCCCUUAUGCCCAGGGCUGCAAACAUGCUACAAUGGCAGGUACAACGGGCUGCUAUACCGUGAGGUUGAGCGAAUCCCAUAAAGCCUGUCUCAGUUCGGAUUGGAGUCUGCAACUCGACUCCAUGAAGCUGGAGUCGCUAGUAAUCCCGGAUCAGCAACGCCGGGGUGAAUACGUUCCCGGGCCUUGUACACACCGCCCGUCACACCACGAAAGUCGGCAACACCCGAAGUCAGUGGCCCAACCUCUUUGAGGAGGGAGCUGCCGAAGGUGGGGUCGGCGAUUGGGGUGAAGUCGUAACAAGGUAGCCGUACCGGAAGGUGCGGCUGGAUCACCUCCUUUCUAAGGAGUCACUGGCCUCGUCUCACGAGGUCGACUCCCGAGUUGACCACUGGCUUUCGUCUUCUGUUCCGUUUUGAGGGAGCGCCCGUCACUUCGGUGGCGGGCUCUGCCGCUCUCCGCACCCCUGUCGAUCCCCUCGAGGGACGCCGGGCACUGCGGCCAGCCGGCCCUUGAGAACUGCAUAGCGAGCACGAGCAUCAUUUAUUCGUUCUCCCAAGCUAAUAAGAGCCAACGGUGGAUGCCUUGGCGCCUACUACCGAUGAAGGACGUGUCUGGCUGCGAUAAGCCACGGGGAGCUGCCUAGAGAGCUUCGAUCCGUGGAUGU
rnacentral:sRNA from 1 species